rnacentral:rRNA from 1 species
AUUGCCCUAGUAACGGCGAGUGAAGCGGCAACAGCUCAAAUUUGAAAUCUGGCUCUCGGGCCCGAGUUGUAAUUUGUAGAGGAUACUUUUGAUGCGGUGCCUUCCGAGUUCCCUGGAACGGGACGCCAUAGAGGGUGAGAGCCCCGUCUGGUUGGAUGCCAAAUCUCUGUAAAGUUCCUUCGACGAGUCGAGUAGUUUGGGAAUGCUGCUCUAAAUGGGAGGUAUAUGUCUUCUAAAGCUAAAUACCGGCCAGAGACCGAUAGCGCACAAGUAGAGUGAUCGAAAGAUGAAAAGCACUUUGAAAAGAGAGUUAAAAAGUACGUGAAAUUGUUGAAAGGGAAGCGUUUAUGACCAGACUUGGGCUUGGUUAAUCAUCUGGGGUUCUCCCCAGUGCACUUUUCCAGUCCAGGCCAGCAUCAGUUUUCCCCGGGGGAUAAAGACUUCGGGAAUGUGGCUCUCUUCGGGGAGUGUUAUAGCCCGUUGUGUAAUACCCUGGGGGGGACUGAGGUUCCCGCAUCUGCAAAGGAUGCUGGCGUGGUGCUCAUCAAACGACCCGUCUUG